rnacentral:rRNA from 1 species
UACGUAGGGUGCGAGCGUUAAUCGGAAUUACUGGGCGUAAAGCGUGCGCAGGCGGCGCGUUAAGACAGGUGUGAAAGCCCCGAGCUUAACUUGGGAAUUGCGCUUGUGACUGGCGUGCUGGAGUGUGGCAGAGGGAGGUGGAAUUCCACGUGUAGCAGUGAAAUGCGUAGAGAUGUGGAGGAACACCAGUGGCGAAGGCGGCUAGCUGGACAAGCACUGACACUCAACUACGAAAGCGUGGGGAGCAAACAGG